rnacentral:lncRNA from 1 species
UUCAGGCUGGGGAGGGGAGGCUUCAGAGACCUCAGCAUAUUGGAGGUACCAGUACAAGAAGACAACUGCCCAAAGAGCAGCGGGCAAGGGACAGAGCCACCUAAAUCUGUGAGGUGAACUGAAUGUGCUGUGGAAGGCAGAGCCAGAGAAAUGGGCCUGCUCGUGCCUUAGGAACCCAGAUGAUCAUGGGUCUCAGACACCAGACACUGAGCUAUUCACACUUCUGAGAGGAGUUGGGUUUGAUUUGAUGUGACUUUGAAUAUGCCCUGAAUGUUUUCUUGUCUUCUCUUGUGGGAACCUCAGAGCCAUAGGAAGCUGCUCCCCUACAGCCAGAGCUGCAACCCUAAACACUUGUUGAAGAAAAAACAGCUGCCCAGCUCCUAGACCUGAGAUGAGCUUACAGCAUGUGUGGUGGUCAAGGUUAGCUUUGUCUUUAGACCUAGGCUAUCAGUUUUGAGGAUGGCCCCAGCCAAUGACUGGAUGCAACAAUGGUCCUGCUCUUUCUGAGCAACAAUCCGUAUCUAACAGGAAACUGUGGACAUCUCUGU